GUUCUCCUCAACUGGCGGCGGCGCGAACGAAUAGUCGCCGGCGACCUGUGAGGGCACUCGGAAGGGCGAGGGGAGGGCUCGACCGCUCGCGCCUAGUUUUUCUAUCUCUCCCGGAGCCUGAGUCUCUGAGCCGUCCCCAGCAAACGCUCAGGGGCUGCAGAGGCCCCGAGAGGUGAGGGGCUCCGUGAGGGCGGGAACCAGGCUGAGGCCGCCUCUGGGGAGCGGAGCGUGUCCGUUGCUGAGGGAGCAAGGCCGGGUAGGGAGCCUGGUGAGCGCCUCAGGCAGGGGCGCACGCUGAGCUUUACGGUAAAGGUGUUCCUUGACCAGCGGAAGAGGCCCCAGAGUGAGCCUGGCCCGGCGGUCCUUAGUGGGAUGUCGCCUGCCGCUCUCAGCAGAGCUUUGACGGCGGAGAGGAGUCGGCAGGCGGUGUGUGGACACCUCCUCGGCCUUGCAUCUGCUCCCCGGGAGAGUCACCAACCGCCUCCCCGCCCAAAGGGCACCGGAGGGAGCUUCGGUUCGAGGGCUUGGCUCUCUGGCAGAUUUCCUCUAGUAAGAGGUGGCUCUGGAGGCCCCGCGAAACGAGUGUGGUGUGUGGUUGCAAGGCAUGAUGGCUGCAAAAGUGGUUCCUAUGCCCCCAAAGCCAAAGCAGUCCUUUAUACUGAGAGUUCCGCCAGACUCCAAGCUGGGCCAAGACCUACUUCGAGAUGCCACUAACGGGCCCAAGACCAUCCACCAGCUAGUGCUGGAGCACUUCCUCACCUUCUUGCCCAAGCCAAGCCUGGUCCAGCCCAGUCAGAAAGUCAAGGAGACCUUGGUUAUUAUGAAAGAUGUGAGCUCAAGCCUUCAGAACAGAGUGCAUCCUCGUCCCUUGGUGAAGCUUCUGCCCAAAGGAGUCCAAAAGGAACAAGAGACAGUGUCUCUGUAUUUGAAAGCUAACCCUGAGGAGCUGGUGGUCUUUGAGGAUUUGAAUGUAUUUCACUGCCAGGAAGAAUGUGUGAGCUUGGAUCCUACUCAACAACUCACGUCAGAGAAGGAAGAUGACAGCAGUGUCGGGGAAAUGAUGUUACUGGGAGUUCAAUUCUGGAAAUCUGACCUACAGAUAUAGCAACAGAACACAUUCGAAAUGAUGUACAAAGAAGAUUAUUCACUGUGGUAUUGUUUGUAAAAACACAAGGUUGGAAGCAGUCCAAGUGUAGUUAAAGAGGAAGAUCAAUGGCAGUAAUCCUGAAGGUGAAGAUCCUGAGAGGGAACCUGUAGAAAAUGAAGAUUAUAGAGAAAAGUCUUCAGAUGAUGAUGAAAUGGAUUCUUCCUUGGUCUCUCAGCAGCCUCCCGAUAACCAGGAAAAGGAACGACUAAAUACAUCCAUUCCACAAAAAAGGAAAAUGAGAAAUCUGUUAGUUACCAUUGAGAAUGAUACUCCUCUAGAGGAACUCUCAAAAUAUGUAGACAUCAGUAUUAUUGCCCUUACUCGAAAUCGGAGGACAAGGAGAUGGUACACUUGUCCACUGUGUGGGAAACAGUUUAAUGAAAGUUCUUACCUCAUUUCCCACCAGAGGACCCACACUGGAGAAAAACCCUAUGACUGUAAUCACUGUGGGAAAAGCUUCAAUCAUAAAACAAACCUCAAUAAACAUGAGCGAAUUCAUACAGGAGAGAAACCUUAUUCCUGUUCUCAGUGUGGAAAAAACUUCCGUCAGAAUUCUCAUCGGAGUCGUCAUGAAGGAAUCCAUAUAAGGGAGAAGAUAUUUAAGUGUCCAGAAUGUGGGAAAACCUUCCCAAAGAAUGAGGAGUUUGUGCUUCAUCUGCAGAGUCAUGAGGCUGAGAGACCAUAUGGUUGCAAAAAAUGUGGGAGAAGAUUUGGUCGGCUGUCAAACUGUACCCGGCAUGAGAAAACCCACUCAGCCUGUAAGACCCGAAAGCAGAAGUAAUACUGGGAACCCUUUCUGGGUCUGAUGGUGCUGCCUCAACCUGAGAGCUUUCAUAAGUAGUUCUGAAUUCCCAAGCUGCCUAAAAAGGUAUAAAUGUGUAAAAAUCUCAUUAUUGCCAAAAUUGGAUAAAUGCCCAUCUUAGCUAAAACCUCAAAUUGCUAGAAAAUUCACAGGGAAGAAAACAUUUCAAGGGCUAUACCUCAGCAUCUAGGCUUUUUGGACUAAGGAGCUUUCCUUUUUGAAGUUAUAUGAUAAUGUACAGGUCACAGAUCCCCUUUCCCAACACUUUGAAGAUGAAUCUGGAGUCUGCUUACUUGGAAGGCAAAGAGUGACUUGUGUCUAUUGAAAGUAUAUCCGUUUUCCCCCCACAUGGGGAUUCAUACUUGAGAAAUAGUGCAAAGAUGCUUAUCUGGAACUGUGUUCUGGUGAAAGAACCAAAUUACUGGCUUGUUAGCCAACAGCUUCUGAUAGCAAUUCAUAUAACCCUCUAAGAAUACCUGUUUAAGUCUUGAGUGUUGAAAGGAAUUGUUUACUUUGGAAUAUAGGAAAACAGUUGAAUGUCAGACUCUCAUUUGUAUGUGAUCUAAAUUUGCAAUCAAUUUCAAUAAUAUUUACAAUUUGUGAUAAAACUGACUUUUACAGAUUCCUUUUCACAACAUAAUUUAGGUGUCUACUGUUCUUAUUGUAUUUUGUUCUGCUGUUGAUCUCUCCAGCAGCCGUCUCAUGCUUCUCCCUUGCUAAAAGAAGUUUGGAUUACUCAGGCAGGGCCAUCCAGCCCCACCACUAGAAAAGCUCUUCAGAAUCUUGUCCCUCUGUUGAGCCCAGAUCUCAUGUGCUACGAAGGAAACCCCAAGACCCAGAGAGGAAGGGUCAACCUGGAGGCAGGAAAAAGUUGGCUUGGAUCCAUGUCUCAUCAAUAACCUUACCAUAUGCUUAGGUCCCCUCUAUGCUGUCAUCAGACCUUUGGCAAUGGGGUGGUCACUACCUCACAAGGCAAAGUGUUGUAUGAUUAGAAAUUACGUCUCCAGUGGUUAGCUCACAUUGCCUCUCAAGAGACAGGUUUCCAGGUGUCUUCAUUGUAGUGGGUAUUAAUUGUCUUCAGCCUCUUGAUAUCCAUACCUUCCUGUCCUCUGCCUAGAAGCAAGGCCAGCGGUGCCUUUACGGACUGAUCGUGUGGUGCGAUUUAGGGAUUCUUCAGUUUUGCUUGCUUUAGGUUUCCAAAAGUUAUACAUUGGUGUUUUGAUUGGAAUAAAGAAAUCCUAUAAGCUAUUUGGGAAAAAUUAUAGUGUAUGUUUCCCAUCCAGAAACAUGCCUUUCUAUUUAUUAGAGUAUUAUAUUCCUGUGAAAAUUUUUCUAAUUUUCUUCACUUGUUUUACACAAUUUUGUUAUUGUAGUUUUUUCCAUUAUAUUUUUAUAGUUGAUUAUUGCUUUUACAUGGGAAAGUUAUUUUUAAUUAUAUAUUUGUAUAGUCAUCUCACUGUUGUUAAUUUUCAAUAGUUUGUUGGUUUAGUUCUGUUAACUUUUGGUAAAAUGACACCAUCUACAAAGAAUAGUUUUUGUUUCUUGC